AGCUUGCUGGAUGCUGACGAGCGGCGGACGGGUGAGUAAUGCAUAGGAAUCUGCCCGAUAGUGGGGGAUAACCUGGGGAAACCCAGGCUAAUACCGCAUACGUCCUACGGGAGAAAGGGGGCUCCGGCUCCCGCUAUGGGAUGAGCCUAUGUCGGAUUAGCUAGUUGGUGAGGUAACGGCUCACCAAGGCCACGAUCCGUAGCUGGUCUGAGAGGAUGAUCAGCCACAUCGGGACUGAGACACGGCCCGAACUCCUACGGGAGGCAGCAGUGGGGAAUAUUGGACAAUGGGGGAAACCCUGAUCCAGCCAUGCCGCGUGUGUGAAGAAGGCCCUCGGGUUGUAAAGCACUUUCAGCGAGGAAGAACGCCUAGCGGUUAAUACCCGCUAGGAAAGACAUCACUCGCAGAAGAAGCACCGGCUAACUCCGUGCCAGCAGCCGCGGUAAUACGGAGGGUGCAAGCGUUAAUCGGAAUUACUGGGCGUAAAGCGCGCGUAGGUGGCUUGAUAAGCCGGUUGUGAAAGCCCCGGGCUCAACCUGGGAACGGCAUCCGGAACUGUCAAGCUAGAGUGCAGGAGAGGAAGGUAGAAUUCCCGGUGUAGCGGUGAAAUGCGUAGAGAUCGGGAGGAAUACCAGUGGC
rnacentral:rRNA from 1 species